rnacentral:rRNA from 1 species
AAUAUUGCGCAAUGGGGGAAACCCUGACGCAGCAACGCCGCGUGAAGGAUGAAGGUUUUCGGAUCGUAAACUUCUUUGAUGAGGGACGAAGAAUGACGGUACCCUAGGAGGAAGCCCCGGCUAACUACGUGCCAGCAGCCGCGGUAAUACGUAGGGGGCGAGCGUUGUCCGGAAUUAUUGGGCGUAAAGGGUUCGUAGGCGGUCUUUUAAGUCAGAUGUGAAAGGUCACGGCUCAACCGUGGUAAGCAUUUGAAACUGAGAGACUUGAGUUAAGGAGAGGAAAGUGGAAUUCCUAGUGUAGCGGUGAAAUGCGUAGAUAUUAGGAGGAAUACCAGUGGCGAAGGCGACUUUCUGGACUUAAACUGACGCUGAGGAACGAAAGCGUGGGGAGCAAACAGG